rnacentral:rRNA from 1 species
AGGCUUAACACAUGCAAGUCGAGGGGUAACAGGGAUUGCUUGCAAUCCGCUGACGACCGGCGAACGGGUGCGUAACGCGUAUGCAACUUACCUUCUACAGGGGGAUAGCCCAGAGAAAUUUGGAAUAAUACCCCAUAAGAUCAUUAAUUGGCAUCAAUUUAUGAUGAAAACUCCGGUGGUAGAAGAUGGGCAUGCGUCCUAUUAGUUAGUUGGUAAGGUAAUGGCUUACCAAGACUUCGAUAGGUAGGGGUCCUGAGAGGGAGAUCCCCCACACUGGUACUGAGACACGGACCAGACUCCUACGGGAGGCAGCAGUGAGGAAUAUUGGACAAUGGAGGCAACUCUGAUCCAGCCAUGCCGCGUGCAGGAAGAAAGCCCUAUGGGUUGUAAACUGCUUUUAUAUAGGAAGAAUUAUAUCUACGUGUAGAUAUUUGACGGUACUGUACGAAUAAGGAUCGGCUAACUCCGUGCCAGCAGCCGCGGUAAUACGGAGGAUCCAAGCGUUAUCCGGAAUCAUUGGGUUUAAAGGGUCCGUAGGCGGUUUAAUAAGUCAGAGGUGAAAUCCUGCAGCUCAACUGUAGCAUUGCCUUUGAUACUGUUAGACUUGAGUUAUUGUGAAGUAAUUAGAAUGUGUAGUGUAGCGGUGAAAUGCAUAGAUAUUACACAGAAUACCGAUUGCGAAAGCAGAUUACUAACAAUAUACUGACGCUGAGGGACGAAAGCGUGGGUAGCGAACAGGAUUAGAUACCCUGGUAGUCCACGCCGUAAACGAUGGAUACUAGCUGUUCGAUCAACAUUGGUUGGUUGAGUGGCUAAGCGAAAGUGAUAAGUAUCCCACCUGGGGAGUACGCU